rnacentral:rRNA from 1 species
AGAGUUUGAUCCUGGCUCAGAAUCAACGCUGGCGGCGUGCCUAACACAUGCAAGUCGAACGAGAAAGGGUAGCAAUACCUGAGUAAAGUGGCGCACGGGUGAGUAACACGUGACUAACCUACCCUGGAGUGGGGAAUAACUGAGGGAAACCUUAGCUAAUACCGCAUAACACCUACGGGUCAAAGGAGCAAUUCGCUUCAGGAGGGGGUCGCGGCCGAUUAGUUAGUUGGCGGAAUGGCCCACCAAGACGAUGAUCGGUAUCCGGCUGAGAGGGCGCACGGACACACUGGAACUGAAACACGGUCCAGACUCCUACGGAGGCAGCGUGGGGAAUUUUGCGCAAUGNNGGAAACCCUGACGCAGCAACGCCGCGUGGAGAUGAAGUCCUUCGGGACGAAACUCCUUUCGAUCGNNACGAUUAUGACGGUACCGGAAGAAGAAGCCCCGGCUAACUUCGUGCCAGCAGCCGCGGUAAUACGAGGGGGGCGAGCGUUGUUCGGAAUUAUUGGGCGUAAAGGGUGCGUAGGCGGUUUGGUAAGUCUUAUGUGAAAUCUACAGGCUCAACUUGUAGUCUGCAUGAGAACUCCGGGCUUGAGUAUGGGAGAGGUGAGUGGAAUUUCCGGUGUAGCGGUGAAAUGCGUAGAUAUCGGAAGGAACACCUGUGACGAAAGCGGCUCACUGGACCAUAACUGACGCUGAUGCACGAAAGCUAGGGGAGCAAACAGGAUUAGAUACCCUAGUAGUCC